rnacentral:misc_RNA from 1 species
AACAAGGCGUACCUGCGGACCUGCGGAAGGAUCAUUACAGAGUUGCAAGACUCCCUAAACCAUUGUGAACCUACCUUCUACCGUUGCUUCGGCGGGCGGGCCCAGCGCCCCCCCGGCCCCCCGCGGGCGCCCGCCGGAGGAUACCCAAACUCUUGACAUUAGUGGCCUCUCUGAGUAUUCUUUACUGAAUAAGUCAAAACUUUUAGCAACGGAUCU